rnacentral:lncRNA from 1 species
GAAUGGCGAGGAGGACUAAAAAGACGAGUGAAAGUGACAAGGACAGUGCUUGGUGUGUGGGACGUGGUUCCUCUUUCUUUCCCUUUAUUGUAAAAUGCUCGUUAUUGGUGAGCUGAGAGGCCCUGCCGACCCAGGUAAGGGGACGCUGGCACCCAGGGCGUAAGGGAGCGCUGGCACCCAGGGUGUAAGGGGACGCUGGCACCAGCAGCAAGGUCGGCAUCAUACGGGCUUCUUCCUGGGUCACCCUGAGCAUUGAGGCCUUUUUUUCACUUCCCCUGCCUACGGGUUACUGUCAUAGGAAGCUACUUGGAAAACAGGAGUUUUUCGGGAUACUGAGGAAUCAGAUUUCUAUUUGGAAGCAUCCUUCUCAUCUUCAGGGAGGGACCAAGAGUUCAGCACACCCUGAUGUGCACAGCAGCCGCCCGCAGAGCGGGGCGGGGAAGGAGAAGGGGUUCACUGUCCUGUGAGGAGAGACUGAGGCACCGCCCUGUGAAAGGUUAGCCCUUCCACCGAGACUCAUCACCACACAGAGAUGACAAGACCCCACUCAAGCAGCUGCAGCCAAAGUCCUGCUGCAAACAGCCCUCCUCAGAUAUGGAGCACAUACAGCAAAGUGACAAGAGACCGCCUCGGCUAACAGGGGCACCCAUGCAGCUCAGGCAAAGGAAAACAAGCAUCCUCUGGGAAGAAAAACUAUCUGUGUGAAGGUUUUGCGGGGGAAAGAAAGGAUUUACUCUCAACCAAAUCCAUCAGAGAACCGCACGACUCUUGAGAGCGCAGUGAUGUCCCAGAGAAGAGAAUUGGGAAGCACCCAGGACAAUGCACAUGCCAGUCCAGGGACACCAUCGAGGACCUGGGCAGCCUGCUUUCAGGGGGACCCUCAUGGUGCCCCACUGCGGCCACUAGGCAGACAUGUCACCUUAUUUCCAAACGUUAUCUCGAAUGAGGGGAACAUAGUCAGCAAUGAACAUGAGAGCAGCAGCACCUGCAAGGGAACGGGAGGGCUCCUGCCUCCAGCCCAGUGUCGUGGGUAAGAAGCAUUACAGAAGAGACUUCCUGGACACAGUAGCUGCCUGUAGAAAGACUCACCCUUUCAGCAGCUUGUCCUGUGAUUUGCAGAAGAGAUCUAAGUGUACCCCUAGAUUUAGGAAUGCUUUCCAAGGGGCAAGGCAGCCUCUGGGGUGCUUGUGAGGAGAGAGAGGUCUCAUUCUCUGUGGUACGUGCAUCUCACACACCAUGCAUUACCAGGAUUCUGAAAAAUCUGCAGUCUAUGCAAAUGUGCUUCAACUAGAUGUAUGUAUUUUUUAAGAAAGCUCCUAAACAUAGGAGGGUUCCUGAAGCGAACCCAGCAUGACCCUUCCCUCUUGUUUUGGGUCAGCUUCGGGUAGAAUAUUUUUGUUUUUUGUUUGUUUUGUUUUGAGAUGGAGUCUCGCUCUGUCACCCAGGCGACUCCCUAAAAUCUGAGCCACCAAGCUCAGCCAGGUAGAAUUUCAUUUUUGGUUUCAUGUUCACUAUUUCCUAAGACAAUUUAGUAUAGAUGAAUGUCAACUGAAAGAACUCCGCAUGUAGAAUGCUCAGGACAUACUAAUAAUGCUUUGGAAAAGGCAAUGGUCUUGUCUAUACUUGAUUAAAUAUCUCUUUAAAGAAAAGCGCAUUACAUGUCACACACUAAUCAGGGGGUCACAUCUGGGCUCAUAUGACAAGUGUUAUGUUUAACAAGAGUAUGAAAGCAAACUUAAAGUCUCAAUAAAGCUUCAGGUAGAAGGACUCAAACACUUAACACAUUACUUUCGAGAAUUUUUACUAUAUUCACUAAGACAAUUUUAAAAUAUUGAGUAUUUAGAUUAAAUAAGCAAAUCUUUUAAGAAGUUAUUAUUUCAAAUACAUAUUACAAAUAGCUCUGCUUUUCUUAAGCAAGCUGCAAAACAGUAAAUGUGUUAUGAUCCAAUUUGUGUAUUUAAAUACACACACACACACACACACACACACACACACAUAAAAUGCCAAAAUUGUUUUCUAGAAUGACAUGUAAAAAACUACUAAUAGUAAAAUCUCUGAGAGUGGUAACUGGGAGUUAGGGUACUUUUAUUUUUCACUUUAUACUUUUCUAUACUUAUUUAUUCUAUACUAUUUUAAAACAAAAAACAAACAGCUUCAAAUACCCUAUAAUUUAGAUGAUCCCUUAUUAACCAGGGCAUAGAGAUGAAGCCUCAUUGCAAGAAACUGGUAAGAUAAAAUAAUUAUAAAGUGCUACCUGAACAUUCAUUAAUUUACCUUCAGGAAACCUGAGAACAAAGUAAAAAUCCCAUUUUGUCAUCUCCCUUCUUGCAUAAAGGACCAAAGGGAAAGCAGCUUUAGAUUCAGGGUUCAGGGUCCUCCCUUUCCCGUCGCACCCUCUCCCUUGUGUCUGAUGGGAGGACGAUGUCUAAGGAUGACAAUGACAGGCUUGGAUGGUGUCAGACAAUCCCUACCUGUCGAAAGCAGGGGCAUUGGCUUCCAGGCCUCUGUGGAGUCUCAGAUGAUGGGAGCCAACCUAAAGCAAAGAGAAGUAA